rnacentral:miRNA from 1 species
GUGCCUGUUUCCUGUGGGA